rnacentral:misc_RNA from 1 species
GAUGAAGAACGCAGCGAAAUGCGAUAAGUAAUGUGAAUUGCAGAAUUCAGUGAAUCAUCGAAUCUUUGAACGCACAUUGCGCCCGCCAGUAUUCUGGCGGGCAUGCCUGUUCGAGCGUCAUUUCAACCCUCAAGCCCAGCUUGGUGUUGGGGAUCGGCACAGGCGCCCUCGGGCGCCCGCCGUCCCCUAAAUCUAGUGGCGGUCCCGCUGCAGCCUCCUCUGCGUAGUAGUUUUCUCCUCGCAAGGGCAGCUCGGUGGCGACCUCGCCGUAAAACCACCAACUUCUGAAAGGUUGACCUCGAAUCAGGUAGGAAUACCCGCUGAACUUAAGCAUAUCAAUAAGCGGAGGA